rnacentral:rRNA from 1 species
UACGAAGGGGGCUAGCGUUGUUCGGAAUUACUGGGCGUAAAGGGCGCGUAGGCGGCGUGUCAAGUCAGGCGUGAAAGCCCCGGGCUCAACUCGGGAACUGCUUCUGAUACUGGCGGACUUGAGGCCAGUAGGGGUCACUAGAACUGACGGUGGAGCGGUGAAAUGCGUAGAUAUCGUCAGGAAUGCCGGUGGUGAAGACGGGUGACUGGGCUGGUUCUGACACUGAGGCACGAAAGCGUGGGGAGCGAACGGG